rnacentral:rRNA from 1 species
GCAAGUCGAACGAGAAAGCCUUCGGGCGCGUACAGUGGCGCACGGGUGAGUAACACGUAGGUUAUCUACCUCUUGGUGGUGAACAACAUCGAGAAAUCGGUGCUAAUACCGCAUAAGAAGGAAACUUGAAAGGGGGCUUCGGCUCUCGCCGAGAGAUGAGCCUGCGGGACAUUAGCUUGAUGGUGGGGUAAAGGCCUACCAUGGCAACGAUGUCUAGCUGGUCUGAGAGGAUGAUC